rfam:Flavobacterium sp. CF136 PMI10_contig25.25, whole genome shotgun sequence.
CUCUAGCCCUGAUGGAAGCGGCAUCCUUUUUCUGGCUUCUUUAGCCGGAAAAAGAUAUAGCGUACAGCAGGAAACAGC